rnacentral:rRNA from 1 species
GCUGAAAAUCUAGCUCAAUUUAACCCAAAUGAAUCAAACCACCUCACCUAACUAAUUAAAACAUUCUAAUAAUCUAGUAGAGGAGAUCGAAAAACAAGCCGGAGCAAUAGAUACAGUACCGCAAGGGAAAGAUGAAAUAAAAAUGAAAAACUUACAAGCACAAAAAAAUAGAGAUAAACCCUCGUACCUUUUGCAUCAUGGUUUAACUAGUCUAAUCAAGCAAAAAGAAUUGCAGUCUGACCCCCCGAAACUAAGCGAGCUACUUCGGAGCAGCCUAAUGGGCACACCCGUCUCUGUUGCAAAAUAGUGGGAAGACUCCCAAGUAGCGGCGACAUACCUAUCGAGCUUAGUGAUAGCUGGUUACUCGAGAAACGGAUUUUAGUCCACCCUAAAGCCUUAUUUAUUACAAUAAAAAUAAAACCCAGCUUUAGAUUAAGUCAAAUAAGGUACAGCCUAUUUGACACAGGAAACAGCCUCAGCUGACGGGUAAGACAUUUAACAAUACACUCCCAGUGGGCCUAAGAGCAGCCACCUUUAAAAAGCGUCACAGCUUAGUUAAACCAUUUUUAUAAUUCCCCCUUUUUCUACUAACCCUCUCCCAGUAUCGAGUAAUUCUAUAACUUAUAGAAGAUUUUAUGUUAAAACUAGUAACAAGAAGAAUGCCCUUCUCUUAAAUGCAAACAUCAAUCAGGCAGGACAAACCACUGAUAAUUAACGCCCAUGAACCCACAUUAGUAACCCCACAAGAAAAACCUAAUUCCCCAUGCGUUAACCUAACACAAGAGCAUUUCAAGAAAGAUUAAAAGAAAAAGAAGGAACUCGGCAAAUAUUAACCCCGCCUGUUUAUCAAAAACAUCGCCUCCUGAUUAAAAAUAGGAGGUCCAGCCUGCCCAGUGACAUCUGUUCAACGGCCGCGGUAUCCUAACCGUGCGAAGGUAGCGUAAUCACUUGUUCUUUAAAUGAGGACUAGUAUGAAUGGCAUCACGAGGGUUAUACUGUCUCCUUUUUCCAAUCAGUGAAACUAAUCUCCCCGUGAAGAAGCGGGGAUAAAACCAUAAGACGAGAAGACCCUAUGGAGCUUUAAAUUUCUUCUCAAAUGCCCACCAGCCCACAAGGUUUAAAACCCCCUCCAAAAUAGUUAGGCACCAUGAGACAGAAUUUUAGGUUGGGGUGACCGCGGAGUACAAAACAACCUCCACAUUGAAAAGACCUCCAAACCCUGAGCAAUGGCCUACAACCCUAUGCACAAAAAAAAUUUACAUUUAUUGACCCAAUUUUUUGAUCAACGAACCAAGUUACCCUAGGGAUAACAGCGCAAUCCUCUUCAAGAGCCCCUAUCGCCAAGAGGGUUUACGACCUCGAUGUUGGAUCAGGGUAUCCCAGUGGUGCAGCCGCUACUAAUGGUUCGUUUGUUCAACGAUUAAAACCCU